CCCUACGGGGUGCAGCAGGCGGCGAUUGACUGUUCAAUGACAAUUAUUCCUCUUAUGCUCAUCUGGCCAUAAGAGGAAUUAGGGCGAGUUGGAAAUUAGGAGAAGUUCAGGAUUACCACGUCGGCAGGACCUCGGUUGUUAACGGCUGCCAUUAGGAUCGAGCCAGACUGCAUCCGAGCAUAAUUUAGAGGCCGUCCAGGAAGCGAAGCAGAUCGUCUUUGGGUUGGAAGCGGGUUCCUCUGGCUGAGGGAGAUUGGAGUUGAUUGAGCGCCUUUUCCUUCAUCGCAACGGCUGCCUCGACGUAGAGGUGAGUGGUGGUCGGGCUUUCGUGCCCCAACCAAAGCGCGAUGACCUCUGGGGCCACCCCAGCCUGAAGCAUGCUCAUUGCCGUCGAGUGCUUAAAGGAAUUGGCGGGAGGGC
rnacentral:rRNA from 1 species